ACUUCAAAUUCAGAUGUAAACGUUAUAUUUGUUCGGAAUAGUAAUAAUUUUUUUCUCUGCCAAAGAAAGAAAACAAAAAAGAAGUUCGCCUAUAUAUAGCCUGUAUACUUUUAUUCUUCCGUGAUCCGGAUCGCGGGCCUCGCGGAGUUUUCUGAAAGUGUGCACGGAGAACACACGUGUUUCCGUUUCAACGAAAACAACACAGCUUCACCGUGAUUGUCACAGCGAACGCUUGUAUUUUACAUCUUUAAAACGACCUGAUGUCAGAAGAAGAUGCCCUGGAUCUCCUGUUGCAGGAUGACCCAAACGAUCAUGCAUUCAGUAUAAAUACGUACAUGGUAUUGACAUCCCAAUAUUUAGUGGGAAGUUCCCAGGUAUCAUCCGCUAGCGACAGUCUACUGGCAAAUCCAGACAUGCAUUGGAAGGAUGCUGAUGUGGAGGACACAGGGACACCUGAUCCAAGAACUGUGGCAUUUCAUUCGGGGUGACAACCUGGCUUUCAGUUGAUAUGGGACCCUAUUACGGUAUUCGGAGAACUGCAGAUUUUAUGAAGCUGUCUUUGACAGAAGAUUUGGUUUUCUCCAUUUGUGUUGCCACCAACCAUUAUGCUGAGAUGGUCAUAUCUAGGGGGAAGGGUUGCCAUAUACUUCCCUAGGAAGUUUACAGCCUCUCACUGAAGAGGAACUGUACAGGUAUUACUAGUUUUAAAAACCGAUAUUGUGGCAGUGAUUUCCAGUUUAAAAAGAAUAAUAAAA